rnacentral:rRNA from 1 species
UACGAAGGGUGCAAACGUUAUUCGGAAUAAUUGGGCGUAAAGGGUGCGCAGGCGGUAUGCUAAGUCAACUGUUAAAUACCUCAGCCUAACUGAGGAUCAGCGGUAGAUACUGGCGUACUAGAGGGUGGAAGAGAGAAGUGGAAUUCUUGGAGUAGCGGUAAAAUGCGUAGAUCUCAAGAGGAACACCGAUGGCGAAGGCAGCUUCUUGGUCCAUUCCUGACGCUCAGGCACGAAAGCGUGGGGAGCAAACAGG